rnacentral:rRNA from 1 species
GAGUUUGAUCAUGGCUCAGAACGUACGCUGGCGGCACGCCUAACACAUGCAAGUCGAACGAAGUAGCAAUACUUAGUGGCAGACGGGUGAGUAACAUGUAGGUAUCUGCCCUUUGGCCUGGAAUAACACGAGGAAACUUGUGCUAAUACCGGAUAAGUCUUUACGGAGAAAGCUUUAUGCACCAUUGGAUGAGCCUGCACUUGAUUAGUUUGUUGGUGGGGUAAUGGCCUACCAAGACUGUGAUCAAUAGCUGAUUUGAGAGGAUGAUCAGCCACAUUGGGACUGAGACACGGCCCAAACUCCUACGGGAGGCAGCAGUGGGGAAUCUUGCACAAUGGAGGAAACUCUGAUGCAGCGAUGCCGCGUGAGUGAAGAAGGCCCUUGGGUUGUAAAGCUCUUUCGUCGGGGAAGAAAAUGACUGUACCCGAAUAAGAAGGUCCGGCUAACUUCGUGCCAGCAGCCGCGGUAAUACGAAGGGACCUAGCGUAGUUCGGAAUUACUGGGCUUAAAGAGUUCGUAGGUGGUUGAAAAAGUUAGUGGUGAAAUCCCAGAGCUUAACUCUGGAACUGCCAUUAAAACUUUUCAGCUAGAGUGUGAUAGAGGAAAGCAGAAUUUCUAGUGUAGAGGUGAAAUUCGUAGAUAUUAGAAAGAAUACCAAUUGCGAAGGCAGCUUUCUGGAUCAUUACUGACACUGAGGAACGAAAGCAUGGGUAGCGAAGAGGAUUAGAUACCCUCGUAGUCCAUGCCGUAAACGAUGUGUGUUAGACGUUGGAAAUUUAUUUUCAGUGUCGCAGCGAAAGCGAUAAACACACCG